UCCACGAAAUAUGUCGAAAACCAUGGCAUCUCGAGUAAAACCACCAUGUAAGUUCAUAGUUGACCCACACAUCUUUAAAAUUCACAUGGCAGGAUUGACUUGAAAAAAAAAUCCUUUAUCCCAAUAAAAUAAGAUACCUCCUCGUUUCAAAACUAUAUAUUCACAAAGUUCUUUAAAAAUCGCCAAAUCACCUGAUGUGGUUAUAGCUUAAAUCCUCUGCUAAUUAAGGACUAAGCAGGGGCGGACUCACGUUGAACUGAGGGGGUUCAACUGAACCCCCUGAAAAAAAAAAUCCUACUUACCCCCCUAGAGUGAUUUUUUUUUAACCCCUGAAAUUUGAAAAUUGCACCCAGGUCUCAGUCAACACUCAGUCACUCAUUCCUCACUCCUCUCUCUCUCUCUCUUCCUCACACACUCACUCUCUCACGGUCUCAACUCUCACCUUCACUCACGAAUCACGAUCCAGAGUUCCAGACCACCACCACGGUACCACCACUACACCAGGCCCCAGCCACCACCAUGGAUGGCACCACUCAUUGAUUCACGGUUCGACUGUUUCAGUGUUCACUCUUUUCUCUCUCUCUCUCAACGCUGCAACCCACCAGGCGGCAGCCACAGCCCACCAACGCCACCAGUCCACCACCACCACCACCGCCCACCGGCGGCCGCCCAACGCACCACCACUCUCUCUCUCUGCUGCUGUUGAAGACUUGAAGCUUGAAGUGAAAUUAGACUGGGAAAUAAGCUUGUUGUCUUGGUUUGAGAUUGGAAAUUUGGAAUGUGAAGGGAAAUGAUUUCAUAUUGCUCAAGUCUGUCAUGAAUGAUUUGUAUAUAACUUCAUGUAUUAAUCUAAUUUAAGUCUACUCUAUCUUGUGAAGAAAA